AGAGGGAGAGGGAGAAAUAGACUCCGCGGAGCAGGGAGCCCUAUGGGGGACUCGAUCCCAGGAAUCUGAGAUCAUGACCCGAGCUGGAGGCAGACGCCCAACCACUGAGCCACCCAGGGGCCCCCACAUCCUUUUCCUGUACUUCUUUGGCGAAUAUCCUCAGAAAGACAAAAGGCUGGAGAUUAUUUUUCUAGGCUCUGCUACCGACUGCCACGAACCCAGCACAGCCCAGGCCGGCGCCCCGCGGGCCUAGUGACGACACCCCCGUCCACACUGACCCCGGGCUGCCCUGCCUCGUCGGUGGCCCCAGGGUCCUCCCAGCACGGCGCUCCCGGGGCAGCGGGCCCGCUACCGCACCGGCCACGCGGUAGGCUCCUGGACCCUGAGAUCCAGCCCAAGCCCGGAGCUGAGAUGGAGGGUGUGAUGCUCAACCGGCUGAGUCACCCAGGUGCCCCUCUGUGUUGUUUCUUAAAUUGCAUGUGAAUCUACAAUUUUCUGCAAAGAAAAAGAUCAAAAGAAGAAGGUCCAAGGCCAAGAAAGCUCUUUCUGGUUUAUGCUACCUCAUUUGAGAACCCACCUACCAUUGUGACCUUCUCAAGGACCCUCCCCAAACUAUGCUUUGAUUUCUGGUGUCCUCAGAUGACCCUAUAAAGCAGAAGAUCCCUGUGCUUCCCUGCCGUGAGGGAUGCUCCCCGCAGGGGAAGUGUGCAUGUGCGUAGCUUGAUGAACUGUGACCCAGGGAGGCUGGAGGCACUAAAGCUGUGUUUGAGGCAGAAAUGAGUCACAGGGUGAGUCACCAAGCAGGAGGCUCGAGGGCGUGGGCUCCCGGCAGCCUCUGGCACCAGCUCAGCUCCAGCCUCACCUUGGGCACUUACACCAAGAAGUUUCUGAGUGCUGCCUUUACUGCAUCCCAUAACUUUUGCACUUUAAAUAUGUCAUCCCACUGUCUUUGGGCCUCUAUCAUCUCUGAUGAGAAACUCCUUGUUAAUCUUAUGGAAGCUCCUUGUAAAUUCAAAGUUUUUGACUCUUGGAUAUCAUUGUGAACUCAAAAGAGAAGUAGACAGCACAGGAACUGACAACAUGGAAACCAAAGCAGAAUAAAGGAAGACACACACUAUCUCAAAGCCUGACAAUUAGAUCUUAAACAUAUUUAAAAAAUAAAAGUAAAGGUUGACUCUAGAAGUUUCAGAUUGGUAAGAUUCAUUCAUUCAUUCAAAAAGCGUUUACUGGCCACCUUUCCUGUGUCCGUCACUAGCUGGAGCCUGGAGGACUCAAUUCUGAGCAAAAACAGACCCUGGUGCCUCGGUUCCCUGGUCCCCUCCUGUCAUGCAGUUUGCAAACUAACAGGGCAAUGGACUUGAA